rnacentral:rRNA from 1 species
GAUGAACGCUGGCGGCGUGCCUAAUACAUGCAAGUCGAGCGAAUGGAUUAAGAGCUUGCUCUUAUGAAGUUAGCGGCGGACGGGUGAGUAACACGUGGGUAACCUGCCCAUAAGACUGGGAUAACUCCGGGAAACCGGGGCUAAUACCGGAUAACAUUUUGAACCGCAUGGUUCGAAAUUGAAAGGCGGCUUCGGCUGUCACUUAUGGAUGGACCCGCGUCGCAUUAGCUAGUUGGUGAGGUAACGGCUCACCAAGGCAACGAUGCGUAGCCGCCCUGAGAGGGUGAUCGGCCACACUGGGACUGGGACACGGCCCAGACUCCUACGGGAGGCAGCAGUAGGGAAUCUUCUGCAAUGGACGAAAGUCUGACGGAGCAACGCCGCGUGAGUGAUGAAGGCUUUCGGGUCGUAAAACUCUGUUGUUAGGGAAGAACAAGUGCUAGUUGAAUAAGCUGACACCUUGACGGUACCUAACCAGAAAGCCACGGCUAACUACGUGCCAGCCGCCGCGGUAA